rfam:Bacillus gaemokensis strain JCM 15801 contig13, whole genome shotgun sequence.
AUGAAAUCGAUGAGCAAGAAGAGUACGUGUAUUUGAUGCGUUCAGAGAGCUGGGGAAAGGUGUGAGCCCGGUACGAUAAAAUAUACAGAAUGGGCUUGCGAGAGGUAUGCUGAACAGAUUAGUAGGCAACCCGGGUUCCGCCGUUAAAAGGAUAGGGUAUCGGAAUGUUUCCUGUACCUGAACAAGUGGGAUUUUUUAAUCCAAUUGAGGUGGUACCACGGUAUUCUAUUACAUAUAUCGUCCUCUAC